AGCAGCCGCGGUAAUUCCAGCUCCAAUAGCGUAUAUUAAAGUUGCUGCAGUUAAAAGCUCGUAGUUGAAUUUCGGGAUCAAUAUGUCGGUCGUGCCUCGGUACGUACUGGCUUAUUGGUUUCUCCCUUCUGACGAACCAUGAUGUCAUUAAUUUGGUGUCAUGGGAAAUCAGGACUGUUACUUUGAAAAAUUAGAGUGUUUAAAGCAGGCUCACGCUUGAAUACAUUAGCAUGGAAUAAUGAAAUAGGACGUUUGAUUCUAUUUUGUUGGUUUCUAGGAUCGACGUAAUGAUUAAUAGGGAUAGUUGGGGGCAUUAGUAUUCAAUUGUCAGAGGUGAAAUUCUUGGAUUUAUUGAAGACUAACUACUGCGAAAGCAUUUGCCAAGGAUGUUUUCAUUAAUCAAGAACGAAAGUUAGGGAUCGAAGACGAUCAGAUACCGUCGUAGUCUUA
rnacentral:rRNA from 1 species